GUUCUGGGGCAAAGUAUUUACAGCCCAGUCAGGUCAAGCACCAGACUACUCCUACUUCCUGAUUGAAACACAAAUGCAGAAUCUCAAAGGAUUCACUUCCUGAGCAUUUUCAUCUCCCAAACUGUAAAAAGAGGACAAUACUGUAGAAGAAUUCCAGGGGAAAUCUCUGUUGAAUCAAGACCAACCCAAGCUCAGUGGGUGCCAUGGUAAUUGGUGGGAUAGAAUCACAGAAGCAUUCAUUAUCUACUACCACCAUGAAGAGGUUGCUACUUGGGAUCUGCUGGAUAACAAAAGACCUGAAAAUUAAAAAGAAAACAAAUAAUGGUAACAUUAUCAGCAUUUCUGAGCCACUGGGUCUUGUUAGGAGUUUAUCAGACUUUUAUGUAUUUACAGUCUGGAAUGGAACAGAUCCACAACACUGAUGAAGGUUCCUCUGCAGCCACACACUGACAGCUCAUAGCCCCAAACCUGAGUCUCUACAGGUGUAUCAGGGCCUUUGUGCUCUCUGGGUCUUGCUUGAAGCAACAGCAACUCCUGAUCUCAGCUUUCAUCUGUCCUCUUGAGAGCCAUUUUAUUACCGAGCCAACAAAACAGAGAUGAGGCCUCAACACUUUCCAAAGUGAUUUAUUUAAGAAUAAUGCCUAUCUGGUAUAAAUACGGUGAUAACUCAGCACCACAUGCAAAUGAAGACAAAGUAGUCUACUCAAAGGGAGAGCAAAAAAAUAGACUUUUUUGUAAGAAGGAAAGUACCCAGGGAAGGAUCCUGUGGGCACCAGUCAAUGGAGUACAGAGCUUCAGUGAGCUGAACCCUUAAGCACAUACCAAAGAGAAAAGGGGCAAAAGGCAGAGCCAGAUGGACACGAUUUAGCCUUUCCUUUGAAACUCAGGGCACAAUACAAAGAAAGGCUUUAAGCUCAGGCCCAAUUCUACAUGACAUUUUGAAGCAAUCUCUUAGAAUUUGUACACCCUAUCAGCAGCAUAUCAGCCAUGUCAAAUAUCACUGAAAUCUGGCAACUCCAAGGUGUUUUGCAGCGUGGUUUGCUCUAAAUGUACAGAAUGCUAAGUGAGGGUUUGAGCACCAAGAAGAUGUGGAGAAAAACAUAUUUUUCCUCAGACAUCUUUCUUCAAAAUACAUAUUGUCUUACUAUAAUAACUCCCUGCUUUUUCCAAAGAUCACAGAAGAUGAAAUAGCAGAGAGGGCAGGGAAUAUUUAGACCUAGCCUAAGAAAAAAAAUUUGGAAAACUUGCUAUAAAAAUGUUGCCAACGGAAAGAUUAAAUGCUUUUCAGUAUUUUUUAAACUUACUGAACCUCCAUUAAAAUUACACUUAGAGUGAUCUGCAAUAUGUUAACUUUAUGUUUAUACAUGAAAUAUACAUUUAUGGCAUAAUGUAAAAGGCUGAACUUUAUAAAUGUACCUACCAAACAGCUGGAGCAUGUAGCAAGACUGACAUCAUUGUAAUGGAGCAUCUGUGGCUUUGUGGAUUUGUGUGUGGGAGAAAUGGGGCCAAUAAAAGGAAAGGAGGAAAAAUCUUUAGCAGGCAAUAGCACCAAAAUUGUACUGCAGGAAUUUCUCAAAACAGCUAUGAAUAAAUCAAACAGUAAAGGAUAGAAAAAACAUUAUUUUUAUUGCCAUAAAUUGGCACUAUUUGCAUUUUGUGCUGUCUGAAACUUAUAUUCAUUGUAUCUUUAAAACUAGCUCAGAAAAGAACCUGAUGGGCAUAAAAUGCUUUAACAACUAACUGGAUGCUAAAUGAAUAAUUUCUUUUUGCUGAGAAGGGAGUAAUUACUCUUCUGUUUUACCUAUGCUGUGCCCAAAUUCAGCCCCUUUUUUGAUACCCCUUUUUGUCACCCCCAGGUGAACACUGAAGCCUGUGGAAAACAUUUACCCCACAGCCAGGCUUAAAGGUGCCAGCUCAUGAAAGGUGGGCAAUUUCCCAUUCUGAUUCUUCUUUCACCCACUCUGAGGUGCCACAAGGGCUGUGCAGUAUAAGGCUAUUCCUUCCUCCAGCUAGAGAGGGGGAAGAAAAAUUCCCAUCACUUCACCUAGCUGGGAUGAAAGCACUUAAUCCAGAAGAGGGUUUCAACUACAGAACUAUGAUGCUGAAUAAAUUACUACACAGCUAAACUAUGAAGUCUAACAAAAUUUUCUGUAUUGCUUUAUUACUGCAAGCUUUCAUUGUUUUGGAUUUCAUCAAUUUGAAGAAUGCAGUACCUGCACUGACUGAUGGAAAUUAUGAACUAAAGGCAGUUCAAAGAGCAAUAUAUUAAUUAAGUAUAAACCCCUAUUUGCUACCUUAGGAAUUAUAUCAUAGGUAUCAUCUAAGUACCUUGACUCUGUUUACCAACCAGUGAAUAUUCUUACAGACCCACAGGCUGUUUAACUAGCACAGAAGUUUGUGAAGUAUCUAGGCUUAUGGUGGCUGCCAUAGAGCAUGGGACUGCUACAAAGAAACACAAAAGACUGAAAAUUUUGGCUCUCUGUGGCAUUUUUUUUUCUUUAGUGCACAAUAACAACUUCUCUAAUAUCUUGAAAAGUGGAACAACUGGCUUCUCAUCCUCCCACUGGAAGUUUGUUAACAUUUUAAAAGAAAAUGUUUUCUUCCAUCAAGCAGUAUAUGGAUGUUUCCCCUUACAGAAUUCUCAAACAUAACCUGCAAAUGAAGUUUAAAGCCAACAUACCAACAAGUGGAGACAGAGGAUUCAAGACUGAGAUUGAGCCAAGCAAAAAAAUAAUGGCAAAAUAUGUCCAUUUUAACUUUCUUUUCUAUUAAUAGUUUGCACAAACAAAUAUACUUCCUUCAGCCAUUGUAAUUUAAGAUCAUUUCACAGUCAUGAGAUAUUCCUACCCUCACCAGAACAGUGGCAAACAAGUUUGUGCCAGUUGUAGCCACCACGGUUGCUGUGUGACUAUUCAGAUACUUCACAUGGCCCUGCUUCCAUGCCCAAACUGGAUAAAGCACACAAUCAUCCCAGCAGCAGCUCUGCUCUUUGAGGCCAGCCUUCAGUUCCCAUGGUGACAUGCAUAUGCAUCUUUGAAAUUCAUUUUGAACGUUCAUGCCAGUAAGUCUCAGGAACCAAACAUUCAGAGAAAACAAAAGGUGUACAAACACAGUCAGACCAAAGCCUUUCAGAGACUGAGGCAUUCCACCAAAACACUUCACUGUGUAAGCCUCUGUUGCAAGGCAGAAAACCCUCCAGCAAACAGCUUCCAUGGCUGCAGGGAGAAAUGAAGUCACUGACAAAGUGGGGAAAAUGGUAUUAUCUUUUUGUGAGAUCCACUGGGAGUCUCUAAAGGUUCUCUUACAAUAACCAUUCCUGAACACCUGCUGGCUUAAGCUGGCAUUUGUGUCCCUGGUAAUAUGGAAACCAACUCUCAAGGACUGAGUAAGGGGUUUGGCUGAACUUUAUUGCUGCUUUAACAAUCAAAAGAAAGUCUAUGUUUAAGUGCUUUAUUAUUAAAGAGAAUGUUUCACAUUUAAA